AUUAUAGUCUUUAAGGCUUUCUGUCAAGCUCUCCAUUGGAAGGGGAAGUUCUCAAUAUUCUAAUCCUUCUUGCUUAACCAGGAAGCAAUGAAUGAGGUAAGAAGCUGGGUUCAGGAUGGGAAUGAUCCCUUUUAAAAGGCAAAACCACCAAAGGAUGGAUGAGGAAUUCAAAUUCUACCUGUGACUGAUGGUCUAUCUUUUCCAGGAGGAGGAAAGAGACAAGAGGUUUGCUGUGUGCAAGACUCAGAACUGAGCUUGGGGGCUGACCCGGAGCAGACGUGUAGAAGAGGAAGGUCCUUGUAGAACUGUGGUGAUCACAUCAUGUCCUGGCUAUCAUGCAAUCUAUGUGCUAAUUCGUUUAGCCUGGUUUAUCGCGAAGGCUGAGACGUCAAACCUCGGGGGGUGGAGGCAGCCUGUCCCCACUGCCACGUGGUGCACGAGGAGGAAACAAGGCUCCCCGGCCAAGGUCACCCGUCAGUCAUGUGGCGCCGCUGGAGCUGCUCCUGGGGGCUGCAGGGGGCCUCCCCUGACACCUCCCUGCAGGCUCCCUCCAGCUCACUGCCGGGCUCACACCGGGCCCUGCUCCCUGACACCCAUCUUUCCUCCUGCCCAGCUGCUCGGGGAGGGCCUCUCCCCCACCCGCCUUUUUAUUAAAGGAUCUUUGCCAUUGAAAAGCUAUAUUCUCU
rnacentral:lncRNA from 1 species